ensembl:lncRNA
UUUUUAGGACUGAACCUGUAGAUAUGAAAGUUCCCAGGCUAGGGAUCAAAUCAGAGCUGCAGCUGCUGGCCACAAUCACAGCCACAGCAAUGCUGGAUCCUUAACCCACUGAGCGAGGCCAGGAAUUGAACCUACAUCCUCAUGGAUACUAGUCAGGUUCAUUACCACUGAGCUGCAAUGGGAACUCCCGUAGACCUUCUUAUCUUUCAUAAAAAAGGUGUCUCCUCCUCUAAGGCAAAGCUGCUAACCCAUCUCAGGAGCCCAGUGCUCCUCUGGCCAACCCUGUAUCCCCGGAAUCUCCCCCAGGUCAGCCUUUCUCCUUCAGAGUCUCCUGUGAAAUUGGCUGCUUACUGAGCUCAACCCAGGGUCCUGUCUUUUUUCAGGAGAUAGCUAACCAAAGUAGCAAUGGUUCUAGGCUCAAUGCAAAAUGUGAUAAAUUCGUCUUUGGCUCUUCCUGGAUAUACCUUUAUUUUAUGAGAGCCUUUCAAAAACAAUGCCUUAACCAAGAUUGAUGCUGAUGGUUGGGAUUUUAUCACGUUGAAGAGAGAAAAACAUGGGGGACUUUAAGAUGCCUCCUGAAUGGAUCAGUCAGGACUCUUUGGCUGAUAAGGAAGGGAAACUCAAACCCAACCUGGCUUCAGGGAAAAGAAGAUAAACUAGCAAAAUACCAGAAACACCAGAGCAAGAAUGAGGAAUACCUAGCUUUAUGGAAUUUGAGACUCAGCACUUUAAGUGAACUAAACUCUGCAGCUAAAUCUCCAAAACAUGACAUUGAAUAAAAAAGUCAAUUAGAAGACAUAUCUGUAUAAUUUGAUAAAAUUAUAAAGUUAAAAAAACCUGUAAAAAAGUUAAAGGUUUAAAGAUAUAAAUGGGCAGUAAAAAUAUAAUAUCAUGCAUUGCCAUGAUAAACUCUGAAUUUAUGAGAGGAAUUGUCUUUGAGGUGAGAGGGAGGGGCUGUAAGAAGAUCACAGGGUGUCUCAAGUCUGUCUUUAAUCCUUUAAGAACACCUAGGAGUUCCUGCUGUGGCUCAGUGGUAAAAAACCUGACUAGAAUCCAUGAGGGCACAGGUUCAAUCCCUGGCCUCGCUCAGUGAGUUAAGGAUCUAGUGUUGCUAUGAGCUGCAGUGUAGGUUGCAGACACAACUCAGAUCUGGCAUCUGCUGUGGCUGUGGUGUAAGCCAGCAGCUGCAGCUCCAAUUCAGCUCUAGACUGGGAACGUCCAUAUGCCGCAGGUGUGGCCCUAAAAAGAUUUUUUUUAAAGAAAUCUAAACUGUGGAUGCUUAACAGUUUGAUAAAACUGAAUUUCAUCAUAUUCUCUGCUAUGAUCUGUAUGUUUAAAAUACAUCAUCAUUUUCUUUAAGAAGGGGAAUCCUGGCUCAUUGUAACAGAUCUGGGAGUAAUUGGCUUGAUCCAGUUGGUCAGGAGCUCUCUGUCUCCGUAUCUUGGCUCUGCUUUCUUGUUUUGGGUCCUGGCUUCUCUUUUUAUUCGGCUUCCGUAUUCAUGGUAGCUAGGUGGCUCCCAGUAACUCCAUGCCCAUGUCCUAACCUUUCAGCAUCUCUUAUAAACUAGAAUCCUCUCCGACGACAGUGUCAGUAAGAAUUCUAGGAUUGCAUCCCGUGAGUCAAGUGUCCACUCAAGACUGAAAUCACUUUAACAAGGGAAUGAGCUGAUGAGCCCAGCCUUGGUUAUGUGCCACCUCCUAGACCUGGUGGUACGGACAUCAACUUUUCCCAAUGACAUUAAAGGAGGUAUUUCCCAAGGAAAUUAGGAGAGUGCUAGCAAAAAGAAGGGGUAGUAGUUUGGGGGUAAGAAGAAAUAGCAGAUAUGUACAAAAACAAGCCCUUCCACAAAGAAUUGCCUCUAUACUAUAUCUAUGAUGAUCUUCGAACAACGAUGGUUGUGUCCUUUCAUCUCUAAGUGAAAGUGACAUAGGAAAAUAUAAAUCACACUUAGGAAUAUAUUUAUAUAUGCAGACAUAAAUGAAAUGCCAGAAAAUAUAAUUGAAUGGUUUAUAAAGGAAUAAUUUACCAAAAUCAAUCAAGAUUUAUCUCAGCAUAGAAUAAUAUAACAAAAUCCAUUAUUAUAAUAUAUUACGUUGAUAAGUUAUGAGAAAUAACAAACAAUAGGUGAAACUCUAUAGAUACACCUAUAAAAUCAGGAAUUAGAAAAAAGCAAUUCUCAGUAUUAUUAUUAUUCAAUAUUCUUUUCUGAAACGCUACUCAGUGUAUCGAAGGACAAAGCAGAUACAAAAAGUAUCACAAACAGAAGGUGGGAGAAUUGUUCUAGUGAUAAAAGAACAAAACCAACCAAAGCAGACAGAUUCUGUCCAGUUAAUUAACCAGGAAAAUCUGAUCUAAAGGACAAGGACACAAGCUUGCUUUGGAUGAGGACAGCAGGAGUAUAGAUCCAGAGCCAGGGUGUUCUCAGAAUUAUCUCAGAACUAGAGAAAAAGAAGAACAAGACCCAGACUCCAGGAAGCAGGGCUGGCAGGGCUGAAGCUGGAUGCAGGCUGGGGCCAGCUGGCUGGAUACUCAGAAGACACUGACCUGAGAGCAGAGAGGACCUGAGUUCCGCAAGGGCUCCAGGUAGAAGAGAGUCAGUAGGGGCCCAGACUUGCCAUGUUCUGCAUUUGUCAAUGCCUCUUGAUAAACUGAAACUAUAGACUUACUUAAUGUAAGUACAGUUAGGUUAGAGCCAAGGGCAAGAGAUUCUGAUGUGGUACUGGGCUGGCAGCCUAUUCCUAAGUGGACAUUCUAUUGACAACUUAAUUGGGUUGAGAAUAGCAUGGGACUAAUUCUGAUAAUGUCCUCCAUGUGUAUCAAGGAUUGUGAAGGGCAUAUCAUAAAAUCAAUCCAUAUGUCUUAAGUGUAUUAACAAAAAAUGUACUAUUGAAGUUUGAGCUUUUGACAUGGUUGAUCAUCUUUUGUUCCUCAAUAGUUCUAGCCCCGCCUGUGAGUAAAUGAGAGAGGCAGGAAUUCCAAAACCCAGAGGCCACUGGUCAAAGGGUCCAGUUUCAGUUAAGAGGGAAAAAAUAUGUUCUACCUGCCUCUCCCACUGAAUGAAGUUAUUCAACCUGGAAAGAAUGUACAGAGCAGCUAUUUGUGGGCUCUGCAAAGUAAAUGGUAGCAUAUGGCUUCGAAAAGAAGACCAGAAUUUGAAAUACCACUAAACCAGCUGUGAGUUUACCAUUUUUUUCCACUCUGACAUCUCCUUGUCUUAGCUCAUUGCACUAGAAGUGGGCAGGGGAGCACAAAAAGAGAGAGUUUCAGGAGAAAUCCUCUGGUGGUGACGUGAGGAGUGGAAAAUGUAACUUCUAAGCUCGGAGAGAAUAUGGAAAUCUAGCUCCCUUGAUUUCUUCUCGUUGUUCUCCCACGUCCCAGCCUCCAAGCAUUCAAAAGCAGCCAGAGGCAGCAAAAGCCUGCAGCAGGCAGAAUUCUCGGGGAGAAAAACCAUCCUUUCCACUCAGUGGAGUUUUCAAGAUAUCAGGGCCCAAAUGCUUUUUCUCUCCCUCUGCCCUCCCAUCAUUUGACCAUGGACAUGGGCUCAGUUAUGAAAAUGUACAGCAUUCCAGUAACUAAAGUCCUAACUUUCUGGCUGCAGGACUGAGAAGGAUCUAUGGGGAAUUAGAAAGUAUUAGUCAAAUUACCAAGAGGGAGGAGCUUGGGGAAACACAAUAAGUGAAAUGAUAAGCUCAUUGGCUAGGAUGAGUAGCAGAGCAGAGAUGUCAGAGGAAAAACCCAGUGUACAUGAAGAAAUGAUAUAUCUGAACAAUCUGAGCAACUUAUCUCUCUGGAGAGAAGGACAGAGGCAGGACAGAGGUAGGAAGACAGAAAAAAGAUAGAAAAGUCAACAGAUAAUUUCUAAAACAGUCAAGCUUAGAAAUAGCAAUAUAUGCAUGUUAUUCAGAAUAGGUGUCAGAAAGAAAAAAAGACAAGUGGCUCUCUCUGGAGAGAAGGACAGAGGAAGGACAGAGGUAGGAAGAGAGAAAAAAGAUAGAAUAGAAAAAAGAGUGUAGACUCAGGAACCUUUGGGACAAUAGCAAAAUGUUUAACAUUCAUGCCACCAAAGUCCUGAAAGGAGAGGAGAAAGAGUGGUACAGAAAAAUUAAAGAAAAAAACUGGCUAAAAAUUCUGAAAUUUGGCAAAAGACAUAAACCUACAGAUUUAAGAAAAUCAGCACACACUGAAUGGGAUAAAUCCAAGUAAAUACACCCCCAGACACUUUAUAACCAGUAUGAUAUUAAUCAUACAAAUGGAAGAUAAAGAAAAAAAAUCUUGAAAACAGCCAGAGAAAAAUGGCUCAUUGGCUACAGAAGAACAAUGAUUCAAAUGACUAUGAAUUUCUCAUCAGAAACCACAGUGGCCAGAAAAAAGUAAAACAAUUUUCAAGUGCCGAGAUAAGAGAACUGUCAACUCAAGAAGGCAUAUCUGGUAAAAACAAAACAAAACAAAACAAACAGACAAAAAUAUAUACAUAUAUAUGUAUAUACUUCAGGAAUGAAGAUGAAAGAUAUACAAUCUUAGAUUGGGAAAACUAAUAAGAGUAUUCAUUGCCAGAAGACUUUAUAUGAAAAUGUUGCUAAAGGCAGUUUUUCAGACAAGAGAAAUGAUGCCAUAAGGACACUUGAAAUACCAUGAAUUAAGGAAAAGCAAUAGAAAUGAUACAUAUCUGGAUAAAUGCAAUAGAUUACUACUCUUCUCUUGAGUUCUUUAAAAUAUGUUUGAAAGCAAAAAUUUUAACAGUGGUUGAUGGGGAUUGCAGUGUAUACAGAGGUAACGUAUAAGAUGACUAGAACAAAAGAGAGCGGUAAUGGAGAUCUAUAUGUUUGUAAAGAUUUCCACAUUCCCACUGAAGAGGCGAAAUGCUGACUACGCUGUGAAAAGUUAAGUAUGUAUACUGUCACCUCAGAGAAACCAUUUAAAAACUAUGCAAAAAUAUACAAUAUAAAAAUGCAAUUGGAAUUCCCGUCGUGGUGCAGUGUUCAAUGAAUCUGAUUAGGAACCAUGAGGUUGUGGGUUCGGUCCCCGGCCUUGCUCAUGGGUUAAAGAUCUGGCAUUGCCGUGAGCUGUGGUGUAGGCUGGCAGCUGCAGCUCCAAUUCGAUCCCUAGCCUGGGAACUUCUAUAUGCCACAAGUGAGGCCCUAAAAAGACAAAAAACAAAAAAAUCCUGUAGCACUGGGAACUAUGUCUAGUCACUUAUGAUGGAGCAUAAUGUGAGAAAAAAGAAUGUAUACAUGUAUUUGUAACUGGGUCAGCCAGCUGUAUAGUAGAAAGAAAAUGUAUUAGGGAAAUAACAAUUGAUUACAAUAAAAAAUAGCGUAAAUAUAAAACAAAACAAAAAAAACAAAACAGGUAAUCAAACACCAAAAGGUUAGUGCUUUAGUGCUUUUCUAUGUAUGAAAAGAUGUAAGAGUCUAGGCUUAUUGAAAUCAUUCCUUUGAUGUGCACCCUAACUAUCUGGGGCCAGUGCCUUGUUCUUUCCCAUCUGAGUGCCCUCAGGGGACACUCUCUGUGGGUGGCUGCACUGGCUGAGGGUUUGGUGGCAGCAAUAGCCUUUGUUUGCUGAUAGGGCAGGCAAUAUUCUGUGUCCACAAUGACUUUACUCCCGCCUGCUCCUUAAUACUUCCUCUCUAUAGACAGAUUUAUCCACCUAAAAGAUUAUAUUUUUACAUGUAGUCCUGAUACCUUUGUUUAUACUAAAUUCAUUCUGCUUGAAGACUUGCCCCCUUUUUAUAUUUGUCUAAACUGUACCCCGUUCAAGUCCUGCUUCAUGGUGAAGCUUUUUCUGGUGGCCUUAAACUUCAGUGACCCAAUUAUUCCAGUCUGAAUUUCUAGAGCAUUUAUCGUCUGUAUCACCUAUUUAGAACAACAAAACAGUAUCCUGACUUCUCUGUGCACCAAUGCUUGCUUCCUUUUUAGAAGUACCUAAUGGUUGUACUUUAAUAGUUUCUUCCCCUAAUGUUCAAGAGAGAGAUUCAAGAGACACCCCAACGUAUGUACAAAUAAACAAGAAGAUCUUGCUAUUCCAAAUUCCUGAGGUUGACUUGAGUUUUUUAUAUUCACCCAAAAACAUUUUAGCAACAACUCUAUGCUUGGCAUUGUACUACAUGCUGCAGAUGGAACAAUGAACAGGGCAGUAAUCAAUUCUGCUUUCCAGGAGCACACAUUCUGGGAACUCCUGCUGUGGCUCAGCAGGUUCAGAACCUGACUAGUGUCCAUGCAGAUGUGAGUUCAACCUCUGGCCUCAAUCAGUGGGUUAAGGUUCUAGCGUUGCAGUGAGCUAUAGUGUAGGCCGCAGACAUGGCUCAGAGCUGGUGUUGCUGUGGCUGUGGCAUAGGUCAGCAGCUGCAGCUCUGAUUCUACCCUAGCCUGGGAACUUCCAUAUGCCGUGGGUAUGGCCCUAAAAAGACCAAAAAAAAAAAAA